rfam:Blautia sp. CAG:37, WGS project CBJJ01000000 data, contig: 197
UGAAAGCCCCGGACAGCAGCUAUGAAUGAGCCAUGCUUGCAUGAGCGAAUUCAUAGAUAUUGGGCGGGCAAGACGACAUGAGUAAGUAGGGCGAUAGCCCGGAUUACGAAUGUUGUCAGCAGUUACGGGAGCGACGCAGGCGCGGAGUAACUGGCUUUCA